AGCACAGCUCACCGCUGUGCGGGCAGGAACUGUGGUGCAUGUUUGUUUGUUGAGCUCCUUCGUCCUCGGCACCAGAGCGGUACCUAGCACUUAGUGGGUGCCCAAUACAUACGGUGACGUUUUGAAAAGUUUACUUGCCUGGUCAUUUCCCUUUAUGUAUGUCGGACCUAAUCUUUUCCUAGCCCUGGAUUACAACAUAGCAACAGGAGCCUAUCUGAUUCCUUUUUCAUUUGGCCCUGUGCGGUUGGCAUUCGUGUAGGUCAUUAAACAUGCCUUAAGAACCCGUUUUUCUGACCUCGGACAGGUCAGAUGACUUCGCGAAGGCCAUCUAGCUUCUUGGUGACAGAGGCGAGUCAGAGCCCAGGUCUUUGCCGUCUCAAGGCUCUCUCCUUCGUUGCACAGUAAUCUCAGUGAGACUGAGAAGUCGCUCACGGUCAGUGACGAAAAUUUGGAGGACAGGUAAUGAAAGCUUGAUAAAGAAAUCCAAUGGUUUCCGCAGUCCCAUCACCCAGUGAUGACCACUUAACAAUAUUUCAGCGAAUACACAGUGGAAAAGAGUGAAACAAGCAAUACCUGAGGUGGAGAGGAGAAAUGCCCUGCGAUCCCCGCCCCAGUGGUCGAUAUCAUCGUGUAACCUUGCUAACUGAGUAAGGCAGGCAUCACGGUUGUCCUGCUCUGCGUCUGCCCAGCAUUGUAUUCUCGGCACCCCCACAAAACAGCGCCUAGCUGUGAGCUCGCAACACGUAUUCAUGGAAUAAAUGAACAAGUACCUCUUUUCUUCCCGA